GCAUCCUGUGGCGCAAUGGGUCAGUGUGUCUGGCUAACAACCAGAAGGUUGGUGGUUCGAGCCCACCCAGGGACG